GACGAACGCUGGCGGCGUGCCUAAUACAUGCAAGUAGAACGCUGAAGGAGGAGCUUGCUCUUCUGGAUGAGUUGCGAACGGGUGAGUAACGCGUAGGUAACCUGCCUGGUAGCGGGGGAUAACUAUUGGAAACGAUAGCUAAUACCGCAUAAGAGUAGAUGUUGCAUGACAUUUACUUAAAAGGUGCAAUUGCAUCACUACCAGAUGGACCUGCGUUGUAUUAGCUAGUUGGUGGGGUAACGGCUUACCAAGGCGACGAUACAUAGCCGACCUGAGAGGGUGAUCGGCCACACUGGAACUGAGACACGGCCCAGACUCCUACGGGGGCAGCAGUAGGGAAUCUUCGGCAAUGGACGGAAGUCUGACCGAGCAACGCCGCGUGAGUGAAGAAGGUUUUCGGAUCGUAAAGCUCUGUUGUAAGAGAAGAACGAGUGUGAGAGUGGAAAGUUCACACUGUGACGGUAGCUUACCAGAAAGGGACGGCUAACUACGUG
rnacentral:rRNA from 1 species